AUUGAACGCUGGCGGCAGGCCUAACACAUGCAAGUCGAGCGGAGCGGCGGACGGGUGAGUAAUGCCUAGGAAUCUGCCUGGUAGUGGGGGAUAACGUCCGGAAACGGGCGCUAAUACCGCAUAUUAUCAGAUGAGCCUAGGUUGGAUUAUCUAGUUGGGGGGGUAAAGGCCUACCAAGGCGACGAUCCGUAACUGGUCUGAGAGGAUGAUCAGUCAACAUGGAACUGAUACCCGUUCCAGACUCCUGGUGGAGGGAGAAGUGGGUGAUAUAAGACAAUGGGCGAAGGCCUGAUAGUGCCAUGCGGCGUGUGUAAAGAAGGUCUUCGGAUUGUAAAGCACUUUAAGUUGGGCGGCGUUACCAACAGAAUGAGAACCGACUAACUUCGUGCCAGCAGCCGAGAUAAUUC
rnacentral:rRNA from 1 species